rnacentral:rRNA from 1 species
UACGUAGGGUGCGAGCGUUUGUCCGGAAUUAUUGGGCGUAAAGAGCUCGUAGGCGGUUUGUCGCGUCUGCCGUGAAAGUCCGGGGCUCAACUCCGGAUCUGCGGUGGGUACGGGCAGACUAGAGUGAUGUAGGGGAGACUGGAAUUCCUGGUGUAGCGGUGAAAUGCGCAGAUAUCAGGAGGAACACCGGUGGCGAAGGCGGGUCUCUGGGCCGAUACUGACGCUGAGGAGCGAAAGCGUGGGGAGCGAACAGG